UGCAGGGAAGAAUCACGCAGCUGACGAGCACUGUCCUUUUCCUUAUUUGAAAUCCCGUUCUUGUCCCACUAGAUCCUAAAGACCUACCCUGGUACCUGCCAAUAUCCCAAACAGCCCUCUCGGUCAUUGCCAAGCUUUUCAAGUUGUGGACUACAACGUUCGUAUUCUACAGACAACAGCAGUUCACCGUGCAGCCUGUUCCCCUGAUCCUUGUGAAGCUCCUCCUUCACCCUUCACCACCACCACCUAUACCGAUCACCAGCCAUGGCUACCGUAGAUUCCAGGCCCCUGUCGUCCUCAGACGGCCCCUCCGUCACCCUUACCAUCAGGCUGAUCAUGCAAGGCAAAGAAGUUGGAAGUAUCAUUGGAAAGAAAGGUGACAAUAUCAAGAAAUUUAGAGAAGAGAGUGGAGCCAAAAUAAACAUAUCUGAUGGCUCAUGCCCAGAACGAAUAGUCACUAUCACUGGAUCAACUGAGGCUAUUCUCAAGGCUUUCACACUCAUAGCCAGCAAGUUUGAAGAGGAUCUCCAGAAUACAGCAGGUGGUGCUGGAGCUCCUAAACCUCCAGUCACACUCCGUCUUAUUGUUCCAGCUGGCCAGUGUGGAUCUCUCAUUGGCAAAGGAGGGUCAAAAAUUAAAGAAAUUAGGGAGGUUACUGGAGCAUCUAUCCAAGUGGCUAGCGAGAUGCUGCCUAACUCCACAGAAAGGGCAGUGACUAUAUCAGGGGCAGCAGAUGCUAUUACUAAGUGUAUUUAUCAGAUAUGCUGUGUUAUGAUGGAGUCUCCUCCUAAGGGAGCUACAAUACCGUACCGUCCAAAGCCAACCAUGCCACCUGUUAUUUUCUCCGGUGGGCAGGCGUACACAGUGCAGGGCCAGUACGCCAUUCCUCAUCCAGAUGUUCUUCACGGAAACAAUUACCUGACCAAGCUCCAUCAGUUGGCCUUACAAAAUGCUCCUCUCCUGCCUGGCCACAACGUUGGGACCCUCACUCCUCAAGCACUGGCAGCUUUGGCAACACACUCAUCCCUGCGUGCCAGUGCUGCUGCUGCUCCUAACCUGGCAGCUGCAGCUCCAAACGUAACUGAAAUAAACAUCCCAAAUGAUCUGAUUGGAUGUGUGAUUGGAAAAGGAGGGGCCAAAAUUAAUGAAAUUAGGCAAGUGUCAGGAGCUUCAAUUAAAAUCUCAAACUCUGAAGAAGGUUCUAAAGACAGGACAGUGACAAUCACUGGAACACCAGAGGCCAUCAAUCUGGCCCAGUACCUUAUCAAUACGAGCAUUCAGAAUACCCACUUGCCAUUGAUCUGGAAAACCAUGGCCGCUGCUUCACUCAAGUAAGCUUCCGGCAAACCUACUUUUCCCCUCUCUUCUCUCCUUGGUUUAUCUAACUUUUACUUAGCACCGUCGACUUCUUGAAGCACCCGUUGUUAGACCCUUACCUGCUCAUUCUUUUCCUCCUCCUUUCUUCGCCCUCCUCGUCAGAUGACAAGAUUUCCUCGUCAAGUAUUACACCAUAGACACAACAAAUCAUGUGAUGUUACUUAGAUUGUGAUGCUACUCACCACCAGAUGGCCUCACUUGCCGAGGCACACAAAAAAUCCGAAUUGGAUUACAGUCGAAAGUCUGUAUGGUUCGGUUUGUGCUCGAGUGAAGUUCGGAAUGUUGAUUAACAUAUCAUCAAUAACUGAAGAAGAUAAGAUUAAGAAAUUUGUGGGCCGAAGGACAAUCUUUUCAUGUAUUUAUAAAUCUGGAUGUGCAUAUUUUAUAUUCAGAAAGAUUUAAAAAAAAAGAGCUUUUAAACCUUAUCUCCUGAUUAUAUAAGAUUAUAACCAUUACAAAACUAUGUAAUUAAAUAUUUUGAUGAAAUUAGAAAAACGUGAUGAAAUAAUCGAGUUUAAAAUUGUAGAGUUUUGUUAUUAUUCUUUACCAGAUAUUUGUUUUUGUUGUCGUUGUUGUUAAAGGAUUUCAUGUAACUGUUAUUUCGAGAACAAGACGAAACUAUCGUUUUACCACUCACUACAUUUCACAAAGUUUUCCUUGACAUUUUAGGUUGAGGUACAUAAUGAAAGCAUAACGAAAAUAUUUGUCUUUAUGCUCAAAGUGUCGAUAUGAACAUAUCAGUAUACCGAAUUAUAUGUACAUUAGAAUAUUUGUUAAAAUUGGAUUGAUUUGUCAGUGGUUAAACUUCACUUAAUAUGAGAAACUUCCGUUUAUAUUACAUCCCAUCUGAUUACUGGACAGUUAAAAGGACUGAAACCAACCCAUUAUUAACUCAAACUGGGUGAUUUUGUUUGAGAUAGCAUUUAGUGUUUAUAAUUUAUUUUUGAGCAAACGAAUGUGUAAGUUGAGUCGAAAUCGUUCAGAAGUGAAUACGUCUUGACAAGAUAUCAUUUUUUUAAUAGUUAAAUUGUGGAUGUAUUUGACUCAGUAGAACCUACAUCGGAAUUGUUAUUUUUGUAAAAUGUAUUGCAGAUGUUCAUAGAAGAAGAAGAAGAAGAAAGAUCUCAUUGGCCUUUUUCCUCUGAUCUCUUACAUUAUUCUUUCAGAAAAUUACCCCCUCCCCUCCAACACACACACUUUUUAGUUUAUAUUCAACGUAUAUGAAAGUAAACGAAUGUAAACACGCCUAACUUUUCCAUCACUUUCUGGUGAGUUUUUCAAGUGUGUAUUAAUUCUUGACAUUUAAAAUUACAAACAGUAAUAAUAACUAUAAACUAACGUAAUCGUGUAAUGAUGUUUAACACCCUGUGAAGCGAUCUGUUUUGGUCCUCACAUCAAUAACGUCAAUGUCAUCAGCGUGCUUAUGUUGGAAAAAAAAUCAAUGCUUCAUACUUGACUCAGGGAUAUAUAAAUUCAUCUCUAACUCACAUAUAAUGAGUUGCAUAUCCAUAAGUUUCUUAUUGAAAAAGGAAAUAAAAACGUUGCCAAUAUAAAUUACAGUGUACGAAUCAGUGCAAUAAACGGCCUAAAUCUAUGUACAGAUUCCAUAAUAUUCGUCUGAAGUCGCGUGAAUUCACGUUUGAUACGAAACCUCACCUUUCAACGAGCUUAUGAUACUCAUAGACAAGAUUUAAAGGAAGUUUUACGAAUCUAAUCACUGAGUGCGACCUUUUAACAUAGUUGGUAGGCAAAACAACAUGAAACGUCACUCCGUGUAAAGGGUAGGUUCUAAACUGUUUUUAUUUUCAAGCCUUGAGGGGUCGUUGCUAUAAAAUACAUAUAUUCAUACACAUACACACAAUAAAUUGUAAAUGGUGUUUUUUUUUCUGUUGUUGUUACUUCGGUUACGUGUGCUUUACAAUUUUACUUGUUAUUCUUUACAUGUCAUGGUUUGCGUAUUAAAUGCGAUUUUUCAACAAUAGAUAACACGACUUAUUGAUAUGUGUUAUUUUAUUGUUUACUUGCCUUUAUUUAUCGUUUAUAAUUUAAAUGUUAUAGUGAUAUAAUUUACUGUUUUUGAAAUAAUAUUGUAUAGGAAUGACCAUUUUUCACAUUGACCACUUGAGUUGGGAUAGGUUGAAAAUAUUUGCGCUUUUCUUCUUUUAAGUAGAAAAACAAAUUUCGCUUAAUCGAAAAGUGGUCUUGUACGGUGAUUGUAUUGUGAGAUUUUAAUAACUUAAAUACUUGUUUUUAUUUCACAAACGGUAAGAAAACAUUUGGCAAUCAAAGAGCUUUAAGGAUAAUGAAAAAUAAUAAGUGGACGUUGUUUAAAAAUGUAGCACGUUAUCAAGGAAACAUAUCAUUAUUAUUAUUCCCACGUUUGUUAACAGUUUCUAGCGAAAAACCUAAAACAGAGGGUCUCAGCUUAUCAAGUAUUUUGAUGAACCAAUUAUUCUGAAUUAAAAUAUGAUUAUCUGUUAAAAUAAAAGGCUAGAUUCUGUAAUUUGGUCUAAAUAUAAAUGUUGUUCUCAACUUACAACUUGUAAAAGAUGAUGAUUAAAAAAGACAUAUCCUUAAGCCAGUUUUAAAAUAGUAUUUGUUUAUUAUAAACACUUAUUUACUCUUAUCGUAAACUGUUAGGAUUAGUCUUAGACUAUUAUUAAUAUAAGUACAACUUGAUACAGCUAUAUGAAUACUUUUUUUUUCUGAUAUUAGGGUGAUAGAAAUAAAUAAAAUAAUAUUGAAGAGAAACCAAAUCUCUCUUUUUUUUGUAAGCAUUUAGGUACAUAAAAAGAUAAUAUGAAUAAUUGUAAAAUGUUUUUAAAUCACUUAUUUUAGAUAUAGUGUUUUUAUCUAACAGUUUUACGUUUGAGAUGUAUAAAAUGUAUAUAAUCGUAUAACAUCCAGGAUUGUGAUUUGUUUAAUUUUAUUAUAUAUGUUAUGUUUUUGUGUAAUAUUUGACUGUGAAAAAUAGCAGAAAAGAAAAAAAUAUUUAUUUCGAAAUGGUAUGAAGUUUUCUACUAAUUUGACUUUUUAACGUGGCAAAAAAAAAAAGGUCACUGACACCUGGUGAACUGUGCAUGACAUAUAGUAAGGGGUGUCACGUGAGCAGCUAAAUAUUAUAUGUAGUAAAAGACUGUAGUUUUUAUUUACUAUUUUCGUUUUUUACCAAAACAGUCACGUAUAGUAAAGUAGGUAAGCUGAGAGGAUAUACUUUAGAGAUAUCCUAACUGUGAUAUAUUUAUGUGCAGUAUAAAAUUCAAUUUCAGGACGCAAGGCAACCACUGCUACUUACACUGUGAAAUAGGAUUAUAAAUUUAAAGUUUUAAUAUACGAUUUUAGAUUUUUAUAGUUAAGAUCUACAUGUAGCAUUUUGACAAUAACCAGUCAACGAGUAAACUAAAAAAAAAAAAAGCAGGAUGAAAGUUUGUGUGAAUUGUAUACAGUCUAAGCAAUUACUGGAACUUGCUGAUAUUGCUAUUGCUGGGGAGCGGAAGGGGGAGGAAAACCACAACCGAGCAGUGGUUCGAAUAUGAACACGUAUUUUAAUAGAAUGGGAAGUGUGCAUUUCUAUGAGGACUGUGAUGGAAACGAUGCUCAAGGAGGGUCGUCAUUUUAAGGUCGUAUUUUUAUCAUAAUAAUUGUUAUUUUUAGAUGUAGUUCACGAGAAAUAUAUGUGAGCCCGAUACAUAUCUCGUGUUUUGAGGACAUAUCAUGCACUUGUAUCUCCUGUUGCUCACAUCUUACGCUACCUGAUUUUCUCUUUGGGAGAUUACUUUCUAAUUUUUUUUUCAAACAACAGAUUUAAAGAGGUUAAAUAAUAGACUAACAGUGUCACAAACAUUAUAUUUAAAGUGUUUAAAUAUUAGGCCUGAAGUGUUUCAAACACCAGGUUUAAAGUGCCAAUAAUAACUGCAACUUUUCACUAUUUUUUGUGCACGCGCACCGAGGAGAGAGCUAUAUUUGAUUGUGGUAUUGUCCGUCAGUCUGUCUGUUAGUUAAUAUUUAUCUCUUAACACCAACCUUUUGAAUUUUGAGUGCAAUAGAUUCAGCGUAACUUGUGUCCAAAUAGACAUGUGACCUCUCGAUAGACUUCACUGUAUUGUGCAAGUGGUAUUGUUGAUGUUUAAUAUUUGAUGAUACAUUUGAAACUUCUUUGUGAAUGUAUUUUGUUCUUUUUAUGCAAAAUAAUAUUUUACGGCUUUUAGAUGUUUUUUUAACUUUUUCACCCCUAAAGAUUCAUACCAGUUUAAAUAUGAUGAGCAACAAGUUACGCUGAAUCGUGUUCUUUGCUAUUGAAGUUUUAAUAUGUAUGUGUUUUUGUCUUUGAUCCCAAUUUCAUGUUUUUCCAGGGAUUAUGGUUUCUAGUAGAUUUUUCUCUUCCCUUGCAUGGAUUUAGGAUAAUGACUUGUGUAGUGACAAAUUUAGCAUUGGUCUAAUUUAAAAAUGAACAUUCUAGUUGGCGCGUUUUCCUUUUAAUCCUAUAUCUGAUUCCAAAGGACAAAAAUAUGUUUACAGUUUUGAUGCAAUAAAUGAGGUACAAUAGUGUCAAUGUUGUUUAUAAAUUUCUUGCAAAGCGUUGAAUGUCGGUUUUUGAGAAUAAGCUGUUAGUUUAUAACUUGAGAAUGAUGUGCUUAUUAUAAUGGUUGUUUAAUAAAAUAUGACUUCCAAAACGA